GGGAGUAUCGACCCUCUCUGUGCCGAAGCUAACGCUUUAAGUACCCCGCCUGGGGAGUACGGUCGCAAGACUAAAACUCAAAGGAAUUGACGGGGGCCCGCACAAGCAGCGGAGCGUGUGGUUUAAUUCGAUGCUACACGAAGAACCUCACCAAGGCUUGACAUGUUAGAAGUAGUGAACCGAAAGGGAAACG
rnacentral:rRNA from 1 species